rnacentral:rRNA from 1 species
GACGAACGCUGGCGGCGUGCCUAACACAUGCAAGUCGAACGGAAAGGCCCUGCUUUUGUUGGGUUCUCGAGUGGCGAACGCGUGAGUAACACGUGUGUAACCUGCCCUUGUCUUUCGGAUAACUUCAGGAAACUGGGGCUAAUACCGGAUAGGAUCUCCUGCUCCAUGGUGGGCGUUGGAAAGUUUCGGCGGUUGGGGAUGGACUCGCGGCUUAUCCGCUUGUUGGUGGGGUAGUUGCUUACCAAGGCUUAGACGGGUAGCCGGCCUGUGAGGGUGGACGGCGACAAGGGGACUAAGGGACGGAGCAGACGGGAACGGGAGGCAGCAGGGGGGAGUAUGACACAGUGGGCGGGAGUGAGAGACGAAAACGCCGGGUGCGGAAAGACGGCCUUCGGGUUAAGAACAGCUGUCGCCUGUGACGAAGCGUGAGUGACGGUAAUGGAUAAAGAAGCACCGGCUAACUACGUG